UGGUUUGUCGCGUUGUUCGUGAAAUCUCACGGCUUAACUGUGAGCGUGCGGGCGAUACGGGCAGACUUGAGUACUGCAGGGGAGACUGGAAUUCCUGGUGUAGCGGUGGAAUGCGCAGAUAUCAGGAGGAACACCGGUGGCGAAGGCGGGUCUCUGGGCAGUAACUGACGCUGAGGAGCGAAAGCGUGGGGAGCGAACAGGAUUAGAUACCCUGGUAGUCCACGCCGUAAACGGUGGGUACUAGGUGUGGGUUUCCUUCCUUGGGAUCCGUGCCGUAGCUAACGCAUUAAGUACCCCGCCUGGGGAGUACGGCCGCAAGGCUAAAACUCAAAGAAAUUGACGGGGGCCCGCACAAGCGGCGGAGCAUGUGGAUUAAUUCGAUGCAACGCGAAGAACCUUACCUGGGUUUGACAUGCACAGGACGCCGGCAGAGAUGUCGGUUCCCUUGUGGCCUGUGUGCAGGUGGUGCAUGGCUGUCGUCAGCUCGUGUCGUGAGAUGUUGGGUUAAGUCCCGCAACGAGCGCAACCCUUGUCUCAUGUUGCCAGCGGGUAAUGCCGGGGACUCGUGAGAGACUGCCGGGGUCAACUCGGAGGAAGGUGGGGAUGACGUCAAGUCAUCAUGCCCCUUAUGUCCAGGGCUUCACACAUGCUACAAUGGCCGGUACAAAGGGCUGCGAUGCCGCGAGGUUAAGCGAAUCCUUUUAAAGCCGGUCUCAGUUCGGAUCGGGGUCUGCAACUCGACCCCGUGAAGUCGGAGUCGCUAGUA
rnacentral:rRNA from 1 species